UACGUAGGGCGCAAGCGUUGUCCGGAAUUAUUGGGCGUAAAGAGCUCGUAGGCGGUUUGUCGCGUCUGCUGUGAAAGCUCGGGGCUUAACCCCGGGCCUGCAGUGGAUACGGGCAGACUAGAGUGCGGUAGGGGAGACUGGAAUUCCUGGUGUAGCGGUGAAAUGCGCAGAUAUCAGGAGGAACACCGGUGGCGAAGGCGGAUCUCUGGGCCAUAACUGACGCUGAGGAGCGAAAGCGUGGGGAGCGAACAGG
rnacentral:rRNA from 1 species